GUGAGAGUGGGGAGCACAGCAGAGCAGAGCCCUCGGGGCUAGACAGAGCUGCAAGCUCAAUCUGUGCUGGGCAUUGCUGCUGGAACAGAUUAAUGACUUAGUCACUGUGCUGACUGGUUCUAUGUGUCAACUUGACACAAGCUGGAGUUAUCACAGAGAAAGGAGCCUCCCUUGAGGAAAUGCCUCCGUGAGACCCAGCUAGCUGGGGACCGAACCCAGGGCCCUGCGCUUGCUAGGCAAGCACUCUAUCACUGAGCCAAAUCCCCAACCCCAAAAGGAUGUUUUGUUAAAGUAGACAUGUGAAAGAAUGUUUUGCUGAGGUAGACACAGCUGAAAUGAUAUUUUGUUAAAGCAGGCAUGCAAAAGGACACAUGAUGUUUAGAAGGAAUAUAAAUAUAACCCAGCGGACGGUGGGUGAUGCUGGAUGGUAUUGGUACACUUUACCACUGCUUACUGAGGAUCAUUUGUCAGGACUCCAUUGAGAGAAAUGGGCCAAAAAACUGCUGGUGGCGCUCUGGUGGCUUUCUGCUUCUGUGAA
rnacentral:lncRNA from 1 species